rnacentral:tRNA from 1 species
GCCGGGGUUGCUAAGCUCGGUAAAGCGGUGGGCUGCAGACCCGCUAUUCGUCGGUUCAAAUCCGACCCCCGGCU